UAAAUAAAGAAGUAUGCAUCGAGAUGGGAAAAAAAUAGAAAGGAAAAAUCGAAAAUUGGAGCGAGCGAGUAAAAUCAGAGAUCGGCGUGAGACAAAAGAAAAAACCCCUUUCCGGAUAGGAGAAGGCCACGAACAAAACCCUAAAUCUUCGUGAUCUCUGUUCGUUCGAUUCUCUCCCGUUCUCGUUUUUUUCCAAAAUCCUGUGCCUCGUGGAGAACUCGUUUCGUUUCGGGAUUUAAAUUUAGAGCGCUACGGUUUGUGUUCUGGUUAUGGG
rnacentral:misc_RNA from 1 species